GACGUAGGAUGCAAGCGUUGUCCGGAUUUAUUGGGCGUAAAGAGUUCGUAGGUGGUUUGUUAAGUCUGAUGUUAAAGACUGGGGCUCAACCUCGGAAAUGCAUUGGAUACUGCCAGGCUUGAGUCUAGGAGAGGGUACUGGAAUUCCCGGUGUAGCGGUGAAAUGCGCAGAGAUCGGGAGGAACACCAGUGGCGAAGGCGGCUCUCUGGGCCUUUCCUGACGCUGAGACGCGAAAGCGUGGGGAGCGAACAGG
rnacentral:rRNA from 1 species